UAGGGAAUCUUCCACAAUGGACGAAAGUCUGAUGGAGCAACGCCGCGUGAGUGAAGAAGGGUUUCGGCUCGUAAAACUCUGUUGUUAAAGAAGAACGUGGGUAAGAGUAACUGUUUACCCAGUGACGGUAUUUAACCAGAAAGUCACGGCUAACUACGUGCCAG
rnacentral:rRNA from 1 species